GCGGCUCAUGAAAGCGGAACCACCUUUUUAUAGGAUACAGGGGGCGAGGGCACCGCUGACCCCCGGUAGAAGUUAGGCAAUCUGCUCCUCUGUCCUGCGCGUCCCUCCGGGCCAGCCUGCGCCCGCUUUCCCACGCAUGGCACCGGCCCCGUUGGCCAUGAACCCCACUGGGCUCAGGUCACGCAGCAAGGACCGCACCGGGUCUGCCCCGUUGCCCUUCAGCGUUGAGUCACUGCUGGAGGCAGAGCCUGGGUCGGGCUUGGAGCCCGCAGAGCUGGGGGGGGAAAGGCCGCGGGCUGACACGGAGCCCGGAUCCUGGUUUCCGCCAGCUGCCCGCGCGUGUCCUCCACGUGCCCUCAGCCCUUCACCCUGCACCCUCCGAAAACACAAGAACAACCGCAAGCCGCGGACGCCAUUCACCACGGCGCAGCUACUGGCGCUGGAGCGCAAGUUCCACCAGAAGCAGUACUUGCCCGUCGCUGAGCGGGCCGAGUUUUCCAGCAGCUUGAGCCUCACCGAGACGCAGGUCAAGAUCUGGUUUCAGAACCGCCGAGCCAAGGCCAAGCGGCUGCAGGAGGCCGAGCUGGAGAAGUUGAAGCUGGCAGCCAAGCCGCUGGUGCCCUCUUUCUCCCUGCCCUUCCCUCUGGGCGCCCCGCUGCACGGAGCUGCGGUGAGCGCUCUGCCGCCAGUGCCCCAGCUCCUCGCGGUCCCGGCCGCCUCCUGUGGCUUGUACUACCUGUCUUAGGGCGAGGGUCUGGAGUCGGGCUGGGAGCGGUGCUGGUGCGUGAGUUCCGUGAGUUCUUGUUCCGUGAGUUCCACACGGAACUGUGCAGCCAGAGCAGUCACAGGCCUGAGCUUCAGCCGGUCCGCAGACCAGUCUUGCUCAUUCCAGAGGUGCUGCUCCGGGCAACUGCUGGAGCAUGGAUGUCACUUUUGGGUGUUUGUUGUUGUUUCUUUUUCUUUGUUAACCUGCUAAUGUGAUGUUGUAUUUGAUUCUUGAAGUCUAUUGGUGGUUUUCUUAGAUUUUAAAUUUUUCUUAAAAUUGUGAUCGUACCAAACUUUUUCUGAAAGGCAAUGAAAAGAGCUUCAUACAGUGGCCUGGAGUAAGUCAAAACAGAUCCUCCUACUUCUUACAAGGCUAACAACAAAGUACUUUGAAGUUUGCUCAAGGGACCUGCUGCAGCUCUGAUGCCGAGCUCCCUCCAGGUGCCAAUGUACAUACAGAAGGAUCUACAGGCCGUUUUUUAGCAGCAGCCAGAAACGAAUUCCAGAACAAGCAAUUAAAAUAAUUUGAUGCCAAGACUGCUAGAAAGAAACACGGUUUUCGUCGUGGCUAGAUUUUUUUACUUCUAGGCUAAGUGGAAACUUUAAAAAAAGAUUUUAAAAGCAUAGACUGUCCUGGGAGUCCAAGGCUGGGUGGGGGAGGCAGCGAGGGGCAGAGGCCGAGGGCUCUGAGGGGUUUAGAGACAGUUUCCUGUGAGGCGCUCCUUAGUACCGCAGCGUGGGGCAGGGAUAGGGGCAGCGGGCCAUCAGCACCGAGCUCGCGCCCUCUGCCGGCACAAAUAAGAAAAAAAUCGCCUCUGGUGCCCUGCGCUUUGCACCCAGGAGGAGGCCUUGAUUUUGCAUGAGUCCAAAGGCUUCGCUCUAACUUGGUCCCAGCCAGGAACACGCUGGUGAUCCUUCUGCUUUCACUGGAUUGAGCUCUUUUAUGAAUGGGACGCCUCUGGCUUUACCUGAGAAAGGAAAAUACUGUACUCUAUGCGAUCUCACCUAUGCUGAGGAGCUGCCCCUAUGGGGCAUUCACUCUCCACACAGUACUGAGAACAUUUAGGGUGCCAGUCCCUGAGAUGCAAAAGAAAAAAAGCAACUCUCAUUCUCCCUGUUAUUUCAAGAGCAAUCUGGAGACUUAAGGAUAAAGUGUGCUGUGAGUUCAUACGAGUUCCCUUCAGGGCAACAGUAGCUGCCCUGGUUAAGUCCUUCCUCCCUUCCCAACUCCUACCUUCCAGCUGGACAGGAGGAACUGGACCAGGAAGGAUGCUAGCUGUGUGGGCAAGAGGACCAGGAGGAAUUGCACACGCUCCCACAGGACUCAGGUUGAUGGCACUGGGCUGGGGUCCUCCUGGCUGGCAGGAGGGAAGGGUCCUGCUGUACAAUACUCAACAGGCUGCUGUGUGUGACCAUACCACAAGAAAACAACAGCAGACACACAGACUUCCCUGAAUUCUUCUGCUCUGGUUAAAAACACCUGAAGGAAUUGCCUGUUGAUGUUCAUCAGACAUUCUCCCUGCAUCUCUGGGAAAACAGAAACUCUUGGGUUUUGUUUUUUGUUUUUUGGUACCGGGGAUCUAACUUGGGUUUUUUAAAUGAAAUAAUGGAAGGGAAAGCACCUAUCCCUUUCAGAUGUUUGCCAGUGUGUGUUGGAGCCUGAGUUGUUACACUUGAUCUUAGCCAGAAGGCCAAAAAGUGAUGGAACCUGAAUUGUUAAAGCCAAUGUCAGCUACCUUUCUCAGGUGGACAGACUUACUCUUGGUCUGUAAAUUCUACAAUGAAAAAGAGCUUGGGGUGAAGGGAGACUGGAGCCUCAGCACCAACCAACACCUCCUAUGACCCUCACUCAUCAGGCACACAUGCUGCUUUUUAAGAUCUGUGCAAUUUAGAUUCUGUUCUCAAAUCUGAGGUUCCUGCAAGACAUUGGGUGGCAGUUGAUUGGAGGCGCUGUCAGGUUGCACUGUGAGCAUACCAGGGUACAGCUCAGAGGUACAGCAAGCUGGUCUCCCUUCCAGAUGGACGGCACAUUAACUGACAGCCAGGAAUGCAGGCAGCAAAACCAGAGUGUGGGAAACUCCAGGUACAACAACCCAAUCACUCCAACAUGAACCUUGAAGAGAAGCAGUGACCACUGCAACAGUCUGAAAGCUGAAUUCCCUUAAGAAAUGCUUCUGACCAACACCUGCGACUUAGAACUCAUAUCAUCUUCUACAGCAGAGAUGUGAGCCUUUCCCAGAGAACAAAACAUCCCAUGGCAAAUAAUUAUGAUGCUGAAUUCCUUCUUCAUCAGCAGUGCUUUUUCUUUUUGAGAUAGGGUUUCACUAUCUAGCUUAGGGUGACUUUCUGUUUGUUAUCCUCCUAUCUCAGCUUCCUGAGUGCCGGUUCUCUAGGUCUGCACCAUCACACCAGCUUCAGCAACAUUCAUGAAAGUUUCACAUUCCUUGUCAGGAGAAAAGCAGACAAAUAACACAGAGUUUUCUAGGUACAGAAGAAGAUAGGCUUGGAUUGUUUUAGUUUAGAUCUAAAAUGUCUCUCAAUGGUGUCAGCUGUCCAGAGGGGGUUUUUGGAAGGUUUUUGGAUUGUGGGGAUGCUAUACCCAUCAAGAGAUUAAUCCACUGAUGAGUUUAUAGCUGAAUGUGCUGUUAGGAGGUAGGUCCUGGUUGGUUAUAGGUGUGUCAAUGGCGGUGUGAUGUGAUGUCCC